rnacentral:rRNA from 1 species
GCGGCCUAUCAGCUUGUUGGUGAGGUAAUGGCUCACCAAGGCGACGACGGGUAGCCGGCCUGAGAGGGUGAACGGCCACACUGGGACUGAGACACGGCCCAGACUCCUACGGGAGGCAGCAGUGGGGAAUAUUGCGCAAUGGACGAAAGUCUGACGCAGCGACGCCUCGUGAGGGACGAAGGUCUUCGGAUUGUAAACCUCUUUCAGCAGGGAAGAAGCGAAAGUGACGGUACCUAAAGAAGAAGCACCGGCUAACUAUGUGCCAGCAGCCGCGGUAAUACAUAGGGUGCAAGCGUUGUCCGGAAUUAUUGGGCGUAAAGAGCUCGUAGGUGGUUCGUCACGUCGGAUGUGAAAAUCUGGGGCUUAACCCCAGACCUGCAUUCGAUACGGGCGAGCUAGAGUGUGGUAGGGGAGACUGGAAUUCCU